GCUAAGAAUAUUCCGCAAUGGACGAAAGUCUGACGGAGCGACGCCGCGUGGAUGAAGAAGGCCGAAAGGUUGUAAAGUUCUUUUGUUGGGGAAGAAUAACCAUGGGAGGGAAUGCCCGUGGGAUGACAUGAACCGACGAAUAAGCCCCGGCUAACUACGUGCCAGCAGCCGCGGUAACACGUAGGGGGCGAGCGUUGUUCGGAAUUACUGGGCGUAAAGGGCAUGUAGGCGGUCUUGUAAGCUUGGCGUGAAAGACCACGGCUCAACCGUGGGAUUGCGGUGAGAACUGCGAGGCUUGAGUGACGGAGAGGGAGCUAGAAUUCCUGGUGUAGGGGUGGAAUCUGUAGAGAUCAGGAAGAAUACCAAUGGCGAAGGCAAGCUCCUGGCCGAUGUCUGACGCUGAGGUGCGAAAGUGUGGGGAUCAAACAGGAUUAGAAACCCGAGUAGUCC
rnacentral:rRNA from 1 species